rnacentral:rRNA from 1 species
AGUGAACGCCGGCGGUAGGCCUAACACAUGCAAGUCGAACGGCAGCACAGGAGAGCUUGCUCUCUGGGUGGCGAGUGGCGGACGGGUGAGGAAUACAUCGGAAUCUACUCUGUCGUGGGGGAUAACGUAGGGAAACUUACGCUAAUACCGCAUACGACCUACGGGUGAAAGCAGGGGACCUUCGGGCCUUGCGCGAUUGAAUGAGCCGAUGUCGGAUUAGCUAGUUGGCGGGGUAAAGGCCCACCAAGGCGACGAUCCGUAGCUGGUCUGAGAGGAUGAUCAAGCACACUGGAACUGAGACACGGUCCAGACUCCUACGGGAGGCAGCAGUGGGGAAUAUUGGACAAUGGGCGCAAGCCUGAUCCAGCCAUACCGCGUGGGUGAAGAAGGCCUUCGGGUUGUAAAGCCCUUUUGUUGGGAAAGAAAUCCAGCUGGCUAAUACCCGGUUGGGAUGACGGUACCCAAAGAAUAAGCACCGGCUAACUUCGUGCCAGCAGCCGCCGUAA